UGCGGGGUGGAGCAGCCUGGUAGCUCGUCGGGCUCAUAACCCGAAGGUCGCAGGUUCAAAUCCUGCCCCCGCAACCA
rnacentral:tRNA from 1 species